UACGUAGGGUGCAAGCGUUGUCCGGAAUUAUUGGGCGUAAAGAGCUCGUAGGCGGCCUGUUGCGUCCGCUGUGAAAGCCUGGGGCUUAACCCCGGGUCGGCAGUGGAUACGGGCAGGCUAGAGGUAGGUAGGGGAGAAUGGAAUUCCCGGUGUAGCGGUGAAAUGCGCAGAUAUCGGGAGGAACACCGGUGGCGAAGGCGGCGACCUGGUCCUUUACUGACGCUGAGGCGCGAAAGCGUGGGGAGCAAACAGG
rnacentral:rRNA from 1 species